rnacentral:lncRNA from 1 species
AUAACUCUGCGGGAAACUCAACUUCAUAGGCUACUUUACCAACACGACUUAAGAUUCUAUAGGGGCCCAUAUAACGGGGACUAAGCUUCCCCUUUUUACCAAACCUCUUCACCCCUUUCAUGAGUGAAAUCUUUAAGUACACCAAAUCACUCACCUCAAACUCAAGAUCCCUUCUUCUCACAUCAGCAUAUGACUUUUGAUGACUCUGAGCUAUCUUCAACCUUUCUCUAAUCAACUUAACUUUCUCCAUAGCCUCAAACACUGCAUUAGGACCAAUCACUG